GUAGUCCACGCUGUAAACGAUGGAUACUUGUUGUUAGAGGUAUUGACCCCUCUAGUGACGUAGCUAACGCGAUAAGUAUCCCGCCUGGGGAGUACGGUCGCAAGAUUAAAACUCAAAGAAAUUGACGGGGGCCCGCACAAGCGGUGGAGCAUGUGGUUUAAUUCGAUGCAACGCGAAGAACCUUACCCAGGCUUGACAUGAACAGGAAGGGUGACAGAAAUGUUCCCGCCCGCAAGGGUCUGUUCACAGGUGCUGCAUGGCUGUCGUCAGCUCGUGUCGUGAGAUGUUGGGUUAAGUCCCGCAACGAGCGCAACCCUUACCUUUAGUUGCCAGCAUUUAGUUGGGCACUCUAAAGGGACUGCCUGCGUUAAGCAGGA
rnacentral:rRNA from 1 species